rnacentral:lncRNA from 1 species
CUGAGUCUUCCAGGCAGCUGUCCUCACUUUGGCUCAAGUAAACUCUUUAAAUUAUGCUUUGCGUCUCAGCCUCUGCCUUUUGGGUCAACACUGAGGGGAGUAAAUGAAUGGCACCUGCUCCUUCUCUGUCUGAAGCUUGGACUUCUCCUGAGAGGACUUCCUGCUCCAAGAUAGGAGGGAGUCUCACUCAGAAGAGGAAGGAGCUCCUGUCUGCUGAGGACACGGUUCCAUCCAAUGAGGUUCAUCUAUUACAUAAAUUGAAUUCUGGCACAAGUUCAACUGCUCUUCAUUGAAACUGAGAAAAAUUUUAGGAUCACUUUGCUGGAAUCCAAAGAAGAUGUUAAAUACUACCAAAAAAAAAAAAAGGCUGAAAACUGGUUUCCAAGAAUCUCUGGGGCAUCCUUAAGAACUCCCCUUGCAUGUUCAUUAGACGGCCCUUUACCCAAUGUAUCUCUAAUAGUCUGCUGAAAAUACUCAAAGGCAAAUCUCCUGAAUAAAUGCUUACUUAGCACGCGCAUCCACUUGGAAUCCAUCAUCUGAAAUAGUUACUGUUCAUGGUGCAUUGACUUUAACUUCAAACUUGGGCAACACUGGAAACAAAGAGAAAUAUACUUCAGCCCCCACAAUCACUGGGCUGUCUGGCAGUUCAGUCCUCCAGCUUUGUUCUGUUUAAGGGCUGCAUUGGCUGUUCUUGAUUCUUUGAUUUUCCAUAUAUACUGCAGAAUCAUCUUCAAUGUAUACCAAAAAAAAAAAAUGCUGGGAUUUUGAUUGGCAUUCCACUGAAUCUGUACAUCAAAUUAGAGAGAUUUGGCAUCUGGAAAUAUUGAGUCUUCCAAUACAUGAACAUGAUAUAAUCCUCCAUUAAUUAGGUAGAAUUUCAGGAGUCCUCAUUAGAGGGAAGCAGAAAGACCAAAGUCAGAGACGGAGAUGUGGCCGUAGAAGCAGAGGUCCAUGUGCUGCGGGGCCAUGAGCCAAGGAACCCACGCCGCCUCUGGGAACUGGGAAAGGCAAGGGAGCAACGUCUCCCUGGAGCUCCAGAGUGAGCCAGCCCUGAUGACACCGUGACUUCAGCCCUCGGAGACUGACUGUGGACAUCGGACCUCUGUCACUGUUUUCUGCAAACUAGGAAUAGAAGCAAGCUUCUUAACCUGAUGUAUCGCACCUUCAAAAAGCCUACAGCAAACAUCUUACUUAGUGAUGAAAAACUGAUUGCCUUCCCCAUAAGAUUGAGA